rnacentral:rRNA from 1 species
GUGCCAGCCGGCCGCGGUAAUACCGGCAGCUCGAGUGAUGUCCAAUAUUAUUGGGCCUAAAGCGUCCGUAGCUGGCCGCGCAAGUCCGUCGGGAAAUCCACCUGCCCAACAGGUGGGCGUCCGGCGGAAACUGUGUGGCUUGGAACCGGAAGGCUCAGAGGGUACGUCCGGGGUAGGAGUGAAAUCCCGUAAUCCCGCACGGACCACCGAUGGCGAAAGCACUUCGGGAAAACGGAUCCGACAGUGAGGGACGAAAGCCAGGGUCUCGAACCGGAUUAGAAACCGGGUAGUCC